UACGGGGGGAGCAAGCGUUGUUCGGAUUUACUGGGCGUAAAGGGCGCGUAGGCGGCCAGUGCAAGUCAGUUGUGAAAUCUCCGAGCUUAACUCGGAAAGGUCAACUGAUACUGCUCGGCUAGAGUGCGGAAGGGGCAACUGGAAUUCUCGGUGUAGCGGUGAAAUGCGUAGAUAUCGAGAGGAACACCUGCGGCGAAGGCGGGUUGCUGGGCCGACACUGACGCUGAUGCGCGAAAGCCAGGGGAGCGAACGGG
rnacentral:rRNA from 1 species